rnacentral:misc_RNA from 1 species
GUUCGAAGAGCUUUGGCUUCAGCUUCAGCUUCCUGAAGCUGUUCCAUUGCAUUUGCAGUGUCAUCCUUCAAGUUUUCAAUCUCAGUACGAAGUAUCGUAAUUUCGUCUUCUCUUCCAUCCUUAGUUUGUUGUGCAGCUUUAAGAGCAGCCUCUCUCUGGCGAAGUGCUUCUUGCUUCCUGGUUAAUAAUUUAGCUUCAAGUGAUAGUCCUUCUCCAAGAGAAGCAACCUGUUUCUCCAACAAACGAACCCUAGCUUCAGAUUCUUCACGUUGUUCUUCUGUACGACGUAGCUUAUCUAAAAUAAUGUCAUUUUCUUCUUGAAGCAUAUCAAGCUCAUCACGAAGCGCAGAAGUCUCAUGAUCAUUUCCAGAAUCCUUCAAAUCCAUUCGGCCUAAUUCUGGUGUGAACCUUUUCUCUCUCAAGCGAUUACUAGGAGGUUCUAUUGGUGGUAUGGUAACUGGAGUUCUCACUGAUGACCUACUUGGUUGCAGUAUUGCUCCAGUUGUUGUUGCUGCUGCUGAUGUACGAACAGACAUCGAGGAGGGUCUUCCAGUAGACGAUGAACGAACAGAAGGAGUGUGAUCCAUAAAAUUUCGACCUAACGAGGGGGAAGGAGAUCUAUUGGGUUUGGCUAGUGAAAUAGCCGUCAAACCACUGUUCUUGCUAUUGCUAUUACUCCGAUUGUCAUUAGUAGAGAAAGCAGCUGUAGGAGGCCGAAACCCUAGAUCAUCA